AUUGAACGCUGGCGGCAUGCUUUACACAUGCAAGUCGAACGGUAACAGGGAGCUUGCUCCGCUGACGAGUGGCGAACGGGUGAGUAAUGCGUCGGAACGUGCCGAGUAGUGGGGGAUAACGCAUCGAAAGGUGUGCUAAUACCGCAUACGAACUGAGGUUGAAAGUGGGGGACCUUCGGGCCUCACGCUAUUCGAGCGGCCGACGUCUGAUUAGCUAGUUGGUGAGGUAAUGGCUCACCAAGGCGACGAUCCGUAACUGGUCUGAGAGGAUGAUCAGUCACACUGGAACUGAGACACGGUACAGACUCCUACGGGAGGCAGCAGUGGGGAAUAUUGGACAAUGGGCGAAAGCCUGAUCCAGCCAUGCCGCGUGUGUGAAGAAGGCCUUCGGGUUGUAAAGCACUUUCAGUAGGGAGGAAGAGUGUUGUGUUAAUAGCACAGCAUUUUGACGUUACCUACAGAAGAAGCACCGGCUAACUCUGUGCCAGCCGCCGCGGUAAUAC
rnacentral:rRNA from 1 species